rnacentral:rRNA from 1 species
AGCGAACGCUGGCGGCAGGCCUAACACAUGCAAGUCGAACGGAUCCUUCGGGCUUGGUGCCGGACGGGUGGGUAACCCGUGGGAACGUGCCCAUUGGUUCGGAACAAAUCAGGGGAACUUGUGCUAAUACCGGCUGUGCUCCUCCGGGGAAAGGUUUGUCGCCAUUGGAGCGUCCUGAGUCUGCUUAGCUAGUUGUUAUGCUAACGGCCCACCACGGCGAGGUUCAGUAGCUGGUUUGAGAGGAAGGUCAGAGACACUGGGACUGAGACACGGCCCAGACUCCUACGGGAGGGAGCAGUGGGGAAUCUUGCGCAAUGGGCGAAAUCCUGACGCAGCCAUGCCGCGUGAAUGAUGAAGGUCUUAGGAUUGGAAAAUUCUUUCAGCGGGGACGAUAAUGACGGUACCCGCAGAAGAAGCACCGGCUAACUUCGUG